rnacentral:rRNA from 1 species
CAGUCGCCGCGGUAAUACGAAGGGGGCUAGCGUUGCUCGGAAUGACUGGGCGUAAAGGGCGCGUAGGCGGCGAUCAAAGUCAGGCGUGAAAUUCCUGGGCUCAACCUGGGGGCUGCGCUUGAUACUUGGUUGCUUGAGUGGGGAAGAGGGUCGUGGAAUUCCCAGUGUAGAGGUGAAAUUCGUAGACAUUGGGAAGAACACCGGUGGCGAAGGCGGCGACCUGGUCCUUGACUGACGCUGAGGCGCGAAAGCGUGGGGAGCAAACAGGAUUAGAUACCCCUGUAGUCCCUGUCUCUUAUAC